rnacentral:rRNA from 1 species
GAUGAACGCUAGCUACAGGCUUAACACAUGCAAGUCGAGGGGUUUUCUUUAAGAAGCUUGCUUUUUGAAGAGAACGACCGGCGCACGGGUGAGUAACGCGUAUCCAACCUGCCUCUCAUAUUGGGAUAGCCUUUCGAAAGAGAGAUUAAUACCGAAUAACAUAUUGAAUUUGCAUGAGCUCAAUAUGAAAGCUCCGGCGAUGAGAGAUGGGGAUGCGUUUCAUUAGGUAGUAGGUGGGGUAACGGCCCACCUAGCCGACGAUGAAUAGGGGUUCGUGAGAGGGAAGGUCCCCCACACUGGAACUGAGACACGGUCCAG